rnacentral:rRNA from 1 species
GACGAACGCUGGCGGCGUGCUUAACACAUGCAAGUCGAACGGUGACGAGGAGCUUGCUCCUCUGAUCAGUGGCGAACGGGUGAGUAACACGUGAGCAACCUGCCCCAGACUCUGGGAUAACAGUUGGAAACAGCUGCUAAUACCGGAUACGAGACGGAGAGGCAUCUCUACCGUCUGGAAAGUUUUUCGGUCUGGGAUGGACUCGCGGCCUAUCAGCUAGUUGGUGAGGUAAUGGCUCACCAAGGCGACGACGGGUAGCCGGCCUGAGAGGGCGACCGGCCACACUGGGACUGAGACACGGCCCAGACUCCUACGGGAGGCAGCAGUGGGGAAUAUUGCACAAUGGGCGAAAGCCUGAUGCAGCGACGCCGCGUGAGGGAUGAAGGCCUUCGGGUUGGUAAAACCUCUUUCAGCAGGGAAGAAGCGAAAGUGACGGUACCUGCAGAAGAAGCACCGGCUAACUACGUGCCAGCAGCCGCGGUAAU